rnacentral:rRNA from 1 species
GACGAACGCUGGCGGCGUGCCUAAUACAUGCAAGUUGAGCGCUGAAGGUUGGUACUUGUACCAACUGGAUGAGCAGCGAACGGGUGAGUAACGCGUGGGGAAUCUGCCUUUGAGCGGGGGACAACAUUUGGAAACGAAUGCUAAUACCGCAUAAAAACUUUAAACACAAGUUUUAAGUUUGAAAGAUGCAAUUGCAUCACUCAAAGAUGAUCCCGCGUUGUAUUAGCUAGUUGGUGAGGUAAAGGCUCACCAAGGCGAUGAUACAUAGCAGACCUGAGAGGGUGAUCAGCCACAUUGGGACUGAGACACGGCCCAAACUCCCACGGGAGGCAGCAGUAGGGAAUCUUCGGCAAUGGACGAAAGUCUGACCGAGCAACGCCGCGUGAGUGAAGAAGGUUUUCGGAUCGUAAAACUCUGUUGGUAGAGAAGAACGUUGGUGAGAGUGGAAAGCUCAUCAAGUGACGGUAACUACCCAGAAAGGGACGGCUAACUACGUG